rnacentral:rRNA from 1 species
ACGCACCUUUCGGGGUGAGUGGCGGACGGGUGAGUAACGCGUGAGAAUCUGCCUUCUGGUCGGGGACAACCCCUGGAAACGGGGGCUAAUACCGGAUAUGCCGCAACGUGAAAGAUUUAUCGCCAGAAGAGGAGCUCGCGUCUGAUUAGCUAGUUGGUAGGGUAAAAGCCUACCAAGGCAUCGAUCAGUAGCUGGUCUGAGAGGAUGACCAGCCACACUGGGACUGAGACACGGCCCAGACUCCUACGGGAGGCAGCAGUGGGGAAUUUUCCGCAAUGGGCGAAAGCCUGACGGAGCAAGACCGCGUGAGGGAGGAAGGCUCUUGGGUUGUAAACCUCUUUUCUCAGGGAAGAACAAAAUGACGGUACCUGAGGAAUCAGCCUCGGCUAACUCCGUGCCAGCAGCCGCGGUAAUACGGAGGAGGCAAGCGUUAUCCGGAAUUAUUGGGCGUAAAGCGUCCGCAGGUGGCACUUCAAGUCUGUCGUCAAAGACUGGGGCUUAACCCUGGAAAGGCGGUGGAAACUGAAGCGCUAGAGUGUGGUAGGGGUAGAGGGAAUUCCUGGUGUAGCGGUGAAAUGCGUAGAGAUCGGGAAGAACAUCGGUGGCGAAAGCGCUCUACUGGACCACAACUGACACUCAGGGACGAAAGCUAGGGGAGCGAAUGGGAUUAGAUACCCCAGUAGUCCUAGC